rnacentral:lncRNA from 1 species
UUUUUAUUGCCCUGUCCCAAUUUGACAGGGUCAAAUCGCAGCAGGAGGGCUGAAGGCCCGACUCUCUGUUUUCAGGCUUAAUGCGCUGGGUUUAAAACUCAGUGUGAAGCGUGGUGAAGUCACCUCCUAUCUCAAAUGGGAAUUUAAUGGCUUCUCUUUCUCUCUUCUAAAAGCAGUCUUUUUGAUGGAUAUGGCAAGAUCUCUAACAAUAACACCCAUUCAGCUAAAACAACACUUUUUGUGAAAGAUUCGUUCCUGUACUUGGUAAUUAGGCAAUGAACUUGGUUGUCCUGCUAUAAAAACGGAAAGAGAGGGGAAGCACUAAUCUUUACAAGAGCUUGCUGGGAUGUUAGCAAGUUGGCAGACUUGAAAUACCAUUAGCAAAACAGCUGUUCAGGUCCCAUAAUUUUUACGGGCUUUGACUCAAAUAGAAGGAUUAAAAGAAUUAGGGGGUCUGCAGAAACAAGAUGAAAAUUUUCCAUUGGAAAUGAACUUGAAAUGGAACAUUACAUGAAAAUAUAAAUCAAGGAAGGGGGGCUGGAUGCAUCAUCUUGCAACACAGCGCUGUUAAAUGAGUAGAUCCUUGCCAAAAAAACCCCAGUGGAAAAAAAAACUAGUUCUGUUCAAACUCAGUCCAGGCAGUCUGGAUAAAACACCAGAGGUCUCAUUUCGCUGUGUGGCGGAUAAAUAAGCAGGGUGGUCGUCAGCACAGAACUGUUGCAGGGCCAGCCCAGAGGGUCUCUGGGAGGUUUACUAAAAGGCAGGAGAAGCUGUUUUGUACUGAGCAGGGGCAACAUUCCAUCUGGCCCAGUCAGCAAAGCCUGGAGGCUGGUCUCCGAGGCCUUAAGUGGUUCCACACAAAUGGAUUGUGACAUCAGAAUCUGGAGAGACAAGACAUGCAAGCAGAGACCUGCUGUCAUUCCCAUUAUCAGAAGAAUGAUGGAUUCCAAACCUGACCCAUAUGUCCAUUAUAACAGCAUACACAUGCCAAUGUAUAAGCAUACACACCUACAUUGAACCGAAGGGAGGUGCCUGAUGAGAACAAGCGAAGGGCUUAAAGCUAGACGCCAGCCUCCUGAUGUCAUCUUGCCAUCAGAUUUGUCACAGAGGCCAUUAGGCUCCUAGGACCGAAAAGAUGCCUUGACUCAACUUGAGACACUGAUGUGAAUUAGUCACAAUCUCCACCGCUACCAGGAGUGCAGGAGACCCGGCACUCUGCAGUUGCCACUCUUUUCUACCUUGCUAGUACUAAGAAAAUGACAGGCAACAAACAAAUGAGCCAGCUAUUUUCUACAUUUCAGGUUGAAUGCUUUUGAGGCUGUUGCUGAACACUCCAGUGCUAUUUUGUGUAACUUGGUUUCUGUGUAUUGUUUUGGUUUUGGUCAUUUUACUGCUGUGUUUAUUUUUAUGAUGCCUGCUGGCUCUCUUGAAAAUUCCUUUGGGGGCCAAAAGAUGACGUCUAAAUACACAAACUAGGAAACUGCUUCAUGUGUUGCUCAAUCAAUGUAUACAGU